AGCAGCCGCGGUAAUUCCAGCUCCAAUAGCGUAUAUUAAAGUUGUUGCAGUUAAAAAGCUCGUAGUUGAAUUUCGGGAUCAAGGAAUCGGUCAUGCCUUGGUAUGUACUGGUUUUAUUGGUUCUCACCUUCUAAAGAACCAUAAUGUCAUUUAUUUGAUGUUAUGGGGAAUUAGGACUGUUACCUUGAAAAAAUUAGAGUGUUUAAAGCAAGCUUACGCUUGAAUACAUUAGCAUGGAAUAAUGAAAUAGGACAUCAGAUUCUAUUUUGUUGGUUUCUACGAUCGAUGUAAUGAUUAAUAGGGAUAGUUGGGGGCAUUAGUAUUCAAUUGUCAGAGGUGAAAUUCUUGGAUUUAUUGAAGACUAACUACUGCGAAAGCAUUUGCCAAGGAUGUUUUCAUUAAUCAAGAACGAAAGUUAGGGGAUCGAAGACGAUCAGAUACCGUCGUAGUCUUAACCAUAAACUAUGCCGACUAGGGAUCGGAUGAUGUUAAUUUUUAAUGACUCAUUCGGCUACCG
rnacentral:rRNA from 1 species